UACGUAGGGCGCAAGCGUUAUCCGGAAUUAUUGGGCGUAAAGAGCUCGUAGGUGGUUUGUCGCGUUGUCCGUGAAAACUCACAACUCAAUUGUGGGCGUGCGGGCGAUACGGGCAGACUGGAGUACUGCAGGGGAGACUGGAAUUCCUGGUGUAGCGGUGAAAUGCGCAGAUAUCAGGAGGAACACCGGUGGCGAAGGCGGAUCUCUGGGCCAUUACUGACGCUGAGGAGCGAAAGCGUGGGGAGCGAACAGG
rnacentral:rRNA from 1 species